GCAAAAUUAAUGUUCAUCAGUUACAAUCUUUACUUUUGACAUGAGGAAAACUCCAGAUUGGAACUUUACAACAACUCUAUACACGUGUUUACCAAGUUGCUGGGUAAGAGAGUGUUCAAGAGAUACCUCGAGCUGUUCUUGGACUCCCCAUAUUUCAUGGACUGGUGGGUUAUUAUGAUUCUAGAAGCCAUUAUAUUUACAAUAUCAUACAAGUUUGCUCCAAAACACUUUCUGUUUGUGUACUUUGUUGCAAUUUCAACAUUGAUAAUGUACUCCAGUAUUUACAUGUACACACAUGCAUGCACAUGCACACACAAAUGUCUGGUGCAAUAUGCUGGAGUCUCACCUCACUAUGUCAGCUGCUGGGGAGAAUGAUCCUCAGAGGGAGAAUAAAACAAAACAAUCCAAUAGCAAUAUGACAAUGCCCUGGUGCAGUCUGCUGGAGUGGACUGUCUCACUUCACUCUGUCAGCUGCUGGGGAUAAUGAUCCUCAGAGGGAGAAUAGAACAACACGAUCCAAUUCCUACAGGUCCAUACGCCUGGUUAUGGUAUUCAGUUCAAUCUCCUCUCUGCAUGGGUGACACCUCCUCAUAAACAGGACCAGUUGGUGCAGUGGGUCCUAUACAUUAUCUUGCUCUUUAGCUGACGGGGAGUACACAUUCUUCUUAUGCAUGAACAAAUACAUUAUCAAGAGUCCCAUCAACAAUUCAAUGACGGUGAAUAGAAUGCCAUGACAACCACGCUGAUGGAGACAGCUCCAUCAAAUCGACUCCCAUCAGAUAGGCUGGCGCAAUUGUAAGAAACAGCUGUAUAAGUGGUUCAAGGUAUAUAGAAGCAUAAUUACUUUAAGUAAUGACUACACUUGCCACUGCAGAGGAUCUCUACUGGGUUUUGAUCCCACUCUCCUAUAGCUAGACAGGUGGCAGUCAUUAUGCCCUCAGCCUCAGGGAAGAGUCCAUCAUCACACUGGAAUGUCACUUGCAUGUGUACCGGAAAGAGCAGGUACUGAAUGAUCACUGAUGGUGCCACUCUGUGGAGAGGAUAGUGGAGCCGUGCAGUUCAUUGGAGGAGCUGUGUAAAUAACAUACUGUUGGGAAGUAUUAAUUUUCAUAACAAUGCUCAGUAGAGCAUUCACCCUGUGCGUUGAGCUUCAUCGCACAGCAGCAAAACGGAUACAAUAACUUUUUACCGUAACUAGUUUAUCAUUAUGGGGAAUAUAAUUAUGAUCGUGAAUUUAUAAAGCAACGAUUAAAUCAAUUGGUUUGUCGCCUUCGAAGAUCGCCUAAAAGUUUCAAGUACAGCAGUUAAAGCAGCCUAUGAAAGUGUCUAGUUCGUUCAAACAGCUCAUUUUGUGUCCAUGCAUGUACACACAUAUACACAUUAUACAUCUGCAUUUAUUGUGUAACACGCUUCAAGUUUGUAUAGAUUCAUGUCAACAGCUGAGGGUUAGCACUUUUAAAUUAGUGCUCUAGUUUACCAAGCCAUCAGAUAAUAGAUUUCUGUUGACAUUAAGCUCCAGGACCUCUUCUAUUGACUGUGUGUGGAUUCAUUGUCAACAAUUGCAAACAAUAAUGAAAGCACCGCUGGUGCUGAUGCCUCGGUGGAUGUGCCAACAUAAAGCUACUAGCUGAUAUUGCUAAUACACACGUGAUAUGAUUAUCAUGAUGAAUAUUUUUGCAUCUAGAGUGGGAUCAAAAUGAUUGAUCAUGAUUGUUGCUAAAGGAUGCUAAAAGUACAAAUUUUAUGGCUGCUGCAUCAGUGUAUAGAGCCUUGCAGCUCUCUUCUCACUCUUGCAGCUACCAAUAACUAGCGUUCUAGUACAGAGCUAACUACUGAGUAGCAACACUCCAUGGACAACUUUUGCUGCGCAUGCACUCUUCUGAAAGGCUGCAAUGGCAUUCCAAAAUUAGGCAUAACUCGAGAACGAAGCAUUAUUUUGGAAAUCCCCGAAUCAGAAUCCAUGAAAACAUUACUAGAACCCUAUAGAAACUCUUACUUGCAGCUUAUUGAUCUUUGAGCAGCUGUAGCAGUCUACAUACACACAUGCACACAUACAAACACACACUGCCGUAUACCUUGCUUGCACAUACACACCGAGGCAUAAUAAUAACUUAACAGUAUCCAAAGCAUACAAAUACCUCUUCUAUAAUCGUAUUAUAAUUAUGAUCAUAGAAGAGGUAUUAGUAUAUACUUUGUAUUUGAGUGUUAUAUGACAUAAUUAUAACACUCUAAUACCUUAAUUGAGUGAAGCUAAACAUGGCGAGAGGCAUUAGCACAGCGCACCACUCGUUUAAUAUAGCUUCUUUUUUAAUACAAAAGAUGUAGUGGCUUUUAAUGAACAGAUGUUGCUGUUUACAGUUGUUAAAAUCGUGAUUGAGCAUGCACAUUAACAGAAGUUUCACAAUCCUACUGGUCCAUACGCCUGGUUAGUAUUCAGUUCAAUCUCCUCUUUGGGUGACACCUCCUCAUAAACAGGACCAACUGGUGUAGUGGGUCCAACAUUAGCUUGUCCUUUAGCUGCUGGGGAGCAUACUGCCUUCUUACGCAUGAACAAAUACAUGAUCAAGAGACCUAUCAACAAUCCAAUGAUUGUGAACACAACUGCUGUGACAACAACGCCGAUGGAGACAGCUGCAUCAAAUCGACUCCCAUCAGAUAGGCUGGCACAACUAAAAGGAGCAGCUGUAGGUUGUUCAAGAGAGAAGUAUUAUUACAAGUGUAUAUUCAAGUAAUGAAUACACUUGCCUCUGCAGACGAUCUCCUCGUCCCACUUUCCUGUAGCUAGACAGGUAGCAGUCAUUAUUCCCUCAGGGAACAGUUCAUCGUCACACUGGAGGGUAACUUGUGUACCGGGAAUAGCUGGUACUGAAUGAUUACUGAUAAUGCUAUUCCGUGGUGAGGGUAGUGAAGCUGUGCAGUUUA